CAGUAGCCACGGGAAUACGGAGGGGGCUAGCGUUGUUCGGAAUUACCGGGCGUAAAGCGCACGUAGGCGGCUUGGUAAGUUAGAGGUGAAAGCCUGGAGCUCAACUCCAGAAUUGCCUUUAAGACUGCCGAGCUAGCAGGUGAGAGAGGUAAGUGGAAUUCCGAGUGUAGAGGUGAAAUUCGUAGAUAUUCGGAAGAACACCAGUGGCGAAGGCGGCUUACUGGCUCAUACUGGACGCUGAGGUGCGAAAGCGUGGGGAGCAAACAGGAUUAGAUACCCCAGUAGUCCCUGUCUCUUAUAA
rnacentral:rRNA from 1 species